UGGGGAAUCUUGCACAAUGGGGGAAACCCUGAUGCAGCGACGCCGCGUGAGUGAUGAAGCCCUUCGGGGUGUAAAGCUCUUUCGACAGGAACGAUAAUGACGGUACCUGGAGAAGAAGCUGCGGCUAACUACGUGCCAGCAGCCGCGGUAAUACGUAGGCAGCAAACGUUGUUCGGAAUUACUGGGCGUAAAGAGUGUGUAGGCGGCUUCGCAAGUUUGGUGUGAAAUCUCCCGGCUUAACUGGGAGGGUGCGCCGAAAACUGCAAGGCUCGAGUGCUGGAGAGGAGAGCGGAAUUCCUGGUGUAGCGGUGAAAUGCGUAGAUAUCAGGAGGAACACCGGUGGUGUAGACGGCUCUCUGGACAGUUACUGACGCUGAGACACGAAAGCGUGGGGAGCAAACAGGAUUAGAUACCCCGGUAGUCC
rnacentral:rRNA from 1 species